GCAGGUGUGCCGCGGUCAGUUGAAGAAUCCGCGAGUUUCUCUGUGAGUUUCCCAUUACGUCAUAGCGCACUUGGUGCUUGCUUGGAAGUUUAGGGGGGUUUUUUCGCUGUAAAAAGAAGUUUUCUUCCCACGCACGAUGGACACUAAUGUUUUUGUCACUUUUUAUGGAAUCAAACUCAAAGUAAGAUCCACCCGGUUCACAAACGAUGGAAGCUGGUUCAUUGAAAUAAACUGCUCAUCCCGGUACAUAAGGACAUGUCCUUCCUGCAGGUCAAGUCUGAACCACUCCACCACAGCUCUGAUGGGAACGCUGAUAUGUGGAGUUCGACAUGGCAGAGUGACGUUCUGUCCAGGCUCAGCUUUGAUGAUUUUCCCAUCUGAAAAAGGAGAAAAGUGUUUGUACACAGUGAGGAGCAAACAGAGAGAUAGAUGUGCUGAACUAAAGAAACCUAAUUUCAUCUUUUUGAAUUGAAAUGUAAAUUAUUUGGCAUGCAUUUCGGGAUGGAAAUCCCAUUUAUUAAAGCUAUUAAAGCUAAUGGAAGUAGCUCUAACAAAAGUUACAGUUUUCUUGCAAUUGACCACAAAAAUAAUUACUUUAAGUUUGGACUGACUCAAACUCUAUAGGAUAACUGUGUGUUAGUAAUAGCAAAUAUGGACACUUCACUGAUCAAUGGAUGCGUAUAUUUGUCAAAAACUUGAAAUACGUUUCAUAUUUUCAUAUUCUAAAUAAGACAGAUCUAGUGUGUGUUAUUCCUUACUCAAUCUUUGUUGGGAUGCCUGGGUCGUCGACCCAGCGUUUUUGAGUUUAUGAUAUUAUUUAUACUUUCUAGUUUUUGGUUUCUUUGAGUUCUGUCUUAUGGCUUAGGUCUCUGUCUUCUUUAGUUGCUCUGUCUCCCCUAUCACCUGCAUCCCCUUGUCUAGUUCGCGUCUAUGUGUAUCCUAAGUUCCUAUAUCCCCGUGUUCAGUCAAUGUUUGUGUCUGCCCUGUUCCCACGUCUCUGUUCCCUUUGUUAUAGUGCCUGCCCGUGAGUCUGUGUUAUGUUUCCUGUUUUACUUUGAAAGUCCAUGUCUGAUGUUAAUGUGUCUGGUUUUGCUUCCCCUUGUCUCGUUAGGCCUGAUUUGCCCCAGCUGUGUUUCCCUCCUGUUACCCAUUCCCUGAUUGCUCCCUCUGUGUAUUUAAGCCCUGUGUUUCUUGGUGUCUGUGUCGCGAUCUACCGUUUACGUUGCUGUGUGUUUUGUCAAUCUGCUGGUGUUAGUUUGUUUUUUUUGAGUUUUUCCAGUUAUGUUAUGUUUGCGUUCAGCAUUAAAGCUGUUUUGGUUUAAGUUCUGUCUCCGGAGUCUGCACCUUGGGUCCUAUUCCUGCCUGCACACAGCCACACCUAACAAUCUUGGAUCAAUAGCUAGUGAUGGGCAGAUGAAGCUUCAUGAAGCACUGAAGCUUUUCAUCCAAUUGGUUCACCCCAGCGCAAAGCUUCUUGAAGCUUCAUUUGCUCUAGGAGGACACCUACUGGACGUAAAAAUAUUAGUUGGCAUGAAUUUGAAGAGUGUG
ensembl:lncRNA